UCCUCGUUGACCGAGGCAGUCUCGCGUGAAAAAUACAACACACGACAAGGGUUGCGCUCGUUGCGGGACUUAACCCAACAUCUCACGACACGAGCUGACGACGACCAUGCAUCACCUGUCACCGGUCCAGCCGGACUGACCCUCUGGUUUCCCAGAGGUACGACCGGGAUGUCAAGCCCUGGUAAGGUUCUCCGCUUAGCGUCGAAUUAAACCACACGCUCCACCGCUUGUGCGGGUCCCCGUCAAUUCCUUUGAGUUUUAAGCUUGCGCUCGUACUCCCCAGGCGGGGUGCUUAACGCGUUAGCUUCGACACCCAGGGGGUCUAUGCCCCGAAUGCCUAGCACCCAUCGUUUACGGCGUGGACUAC
rnacentral:misc_RNA from 1 species